rnacentral:lncRNA from 1 species
GUGGUGAGCCAGGUUGGCCCGCGGGUUGUCACCCAUUUUGAAAGCUCUACUCAACCUCCUAUCAUUACCCUCUGCCCCUUCAACAACCUGGUUCCCAAGGUUGAACUCAAGAUAUUAAUCCUGGAUAGUCAACCUGUCUUCCCAGGUGGCGCCUUCUCUGCCUCCUUCUUGCCACUCUACCAAAACUUGGUGAAAUACCUCUUCCUUUUGAUGCACUUGUCUACUCCCCAGAAUCCUCACUGGCCAGUAAGUAGGUCCUUCUGCCUUUAACUCUGCUGGCAGGUGCUUCUCUACUUUCUUGUCCCCCUUACUUUCUUCAGCUGGGAUACAUGAAAAAUCGAGUGUAUCCUUGCUGAUUCUGCCAAUCUUAGUCUAUAUGCCAUGUUCCCCACUUGCUGCAACACUUGGAACGACCCAAAGUAACAAGCUGAGAGCUUUGGAUGCAAUCGAACCGGCAUGGAAGAUUGUCUAUGCGAUCUAAUUUUCAAAUAAACCCAAUCAUCCACCUUAAUAUCCACCUCUUUCCUCCUUUUGUUUGCCUCUAGGCCAUUAAAUCUUGGGCCCUGUUUAAAUGGAACUUCAACUGCUUAAGUGCAUCAUCCCGUGUCAUAAGGUCCUGGGCCACUGCUUCUACAGGUGUUUCUCUUGUAACAAACCUACUUAAGGAUGGAGGAGCCCUGCCAUACACAAUUUCAAAAGGUGUACACCUUGCUGCCCCCUGGUAGCUGGUAUUGUACUAGUAUUCGGCCCAGGGUAGCAUGGCAUUCCAGCUUUUUGGUUGCUCCGAGCAGAAGCACCUCAAAUAACCCUCCACAAUCCGAUUCACUACUUCUAUUUGCCCAUCUGUUUCAGGAUGAUAAGCUGUGCUCAUCUUGAGUUGGGUCCCCUGCAUCUUAAAUAACUCCUUUCAAAAGAUGCUUAGGAACAAGGGGUCCCUAUCACUAACAAUCGAAACCGGAAUCCCAUGCAGCCUAACGAUUUCCUUGAAAAACACCUAUGCCAUUGUUUUAGCUGAAUAAGGGUGCUUCAGCGCCAUAAAGUGGGCGUAUUUACUCAACCGAUCUACAACCACUAGGAUUGCAUCAUGGCUCAGUGACUUCGACAACUUCACUAUGAAGUCCAUGCUUACCUCUUCCUACACGACAUGGGAUAUAGGUAAGGGCUGUAAUAACCCUUGGGGAGAAACAACCAUGUAUUUGUGCUGCUGACACACCACGCACCCCCCAAUAAAAGAUUGGGCUACCUUCCUAUAUCUGCGAUACAGCCUCGAAUGGCCCCCUGUGUUGGUCACAUGAAACUCAGCCAACAAUUUGGGAAUCCACACCGAACUGGCCGAUAUCACCAACCUUCCCUUGUAGUGCAGCCUAUGAUUCUCCAAGGUAUAGGCUAGAUGACAGUUUGGAUCCUUUUUUAUAUCAAUUAUCACUUUUCUCAAUGUUUCAUCCUCUUCUACCUCUUUCAAGACUUCCUAAAAAGUCUUGCCAGAAUGGCUUGGAAAUCACCUAUAGCUCUACUCCCUCCAUACCUCCUUCUUCCCUUCUCGACAAGGCAUCCGCUACCCUGUUGGUGCUCCCCUUCUUAUAGAGGAUUUUAAAAUCAUAACCCAUGAGCUUUGCCAUCCAAUUUGGCUAAUUUUGAGUUGUUAUCCUCCGCUCUAGCAAGUAUUUCAGGCUUCGCUGGUCAGUAUGUACAAUAAACCUCCGUCCUAGCAAGUAUGGUCUCCAAUGUUGGAUGGCCAUAACCAAGGCCAUUAACUCCUUUUCAUAUAUGGAUUUACUCAGAGAACCUUCGGACAUUGCUUUACUAAAAAAGGCAAUGGUUUUUUAUUUUGAGUUAACACUGCCCCCACACCUCCCCUUGAAGCAUCGCAUUCGAUGUGAAAUGUCUGGUAGAAGUCGGGCAGCGUUAGAACUGGCGUAGAGGUGACAACCAACUUCAGUUCUGCCAUGGGUGUUUAAGCCUUUCCAGACCACAAAUUUACCUUUCUUCAACAAUUCAGUCAGUGGUUUUGCUAUUCUCCCAUAUCCUUGCACAAAGUGCUUGUAAUACCCUGUCAACCCGAGGAAACCUCUCAAGGCUUUCAAGUUUUUCGAUUUUUCCCACUCCAAAACCGCCCUUAUUUUAUCCCUAUCCAUCUCAACACCUUUUUCUGAAAUCUGGUGGCCCAAAUGUCGAAUCUGCUGCCUCCUGAAUUCAUUUUUCUUUUUAUUGGCCACCCACCGAUGGUGUUCCAAUAACUGUAACACCAGUUUCAAUUGUUCCAAAUUAUCCUUCCAUGUGAGGCUAUAUACUAAGAUGUCGUCGAAGAAUACAAGCACACAUUUCCUAAGGUAUUGUUGCAGCAAGCUAUUCAUCACGCUCUGGAACGUAACUGGCGCAUUAGUGAGGCCAAAUGGCAUCACUAGGAACUGAAAGUGGCCCUGGUGAGUUCGGAAAGUUUUGGGUACAUCUCCUUCUCCCAUCCUGAUCCGAUGAUACCCACCUUUAAAUCUAUCUUGGAAAAAUAUUUGACUCCCUUUAAUUCAUCCAACAACUCUUCUAUCACUGGAAUGAGGAAUUUAUCUGGGAUGGUGGCUUUGUUCAAGGCCAGGUAAUCCACAUAGAAACGCCAGCUGCCGUAUUUCUUUUUUACUGAGAUAACCGGACUAUAAUAGGGGCUCGUGCUUGGUCUGAUUAUCACUGCUUUCAUUAUAUCUACCACUUGCCUCUCAAUCUCUCCCUUCAUAAGGUGUGGGUACCUAUACAGACGCACAUUCACUGGAUCCACCCCUUCCUUGAGGGGUAUUCGGUGCUCCAUAUCACGAGGUGGCGGUAGGCCCUGCACGUCCUGAAACACUUGGUAGUGCACAUUCAACACUGCCUCCAACUCUGCUUUCUGCGCCCUUGUCAAAUCAGCUUACCCCUCACCGUCCACCUCUUUCUCCACUAGGCCCGGAUCCCAAACCAACACCCACGACUCAACAUUUGUCAACUUUAAUAAAGUCUUUGGUUCAACCAGCUGUCGGGAUAAUGCAGGGUCACCUUUUACCUUCACCUUCUUACCCUCCACAUUAUUGAUAACGGUUGAAAAACAGUUAUUUUCAUAUGUCAUUUUAGACCAAAUUACACCCUUUAAGACUUAGAAUGAGCUUAGAAUCAAGUAAAACCCAAUAAAUGAGUCAGUUGAGGGUCAAAAGCUAUUUUUAGCGAUAUUAUGCUUGUUUUGCAACAUUUUUGAGGGAAGUGAACAAUGGAGUUGAAGAUGAAGGUUUUAGACUCAGGACAGAGGAAGAAAACUGAAGAAAAGAAGAGUCUAGGAACCGCCCAGCGUCAAAAUUCACCGUUGGGCGGUCCAAUGCGAGGAGGUGGCACCAGGCGUGGACGCUGGGCGAAUUUGUGAUUAGAGGCAAACCGCCGGGCGGUGGACCCUUGGCGCCGGGCGGUGGCGCGAUUAUGGACAAACCGCCGGGUGACAUAAGUGGGGUGUCGGGCGGUUGUCUGCUGGGCUUGGGCCUGUUUUCUGUGACGCUCCUCAGCUAUAAAUAGCCCUGUUACGAUUUCAUUCUCAUUCUUUUGAAAGAAGAGGGUGGCCAGACCUAAAUUUCACUCCUUGGAGAGGAUUUCUUGGAUGCUUAGGCUCCUUUUCAUCCUAUCUAGGGUUUGCUCUUCCAUUCUUCCAUUAUUUUCAUCUAGGUUCACCAUGACAAUGGUGAACUAAACCUUUUUGUUGUUGGGGGAAACAAUGUAAUCUUUUGAAACUCUCUUCUAUUGAAACUCUUGUUUAUUUAUAUGAUUAUCAUUUGCUUUGAUUAUCAAUUGUUGGGUUCUCAUAUGCGCUUAAAGCUUUUAUCGUUUAACUCAUUCGAUAACUGUUGUUUGUCUUUAUUGAUACAGGGACGUACGGUACUGUCAUGAACUGGUGAGAAAUUCCUUGAUUAAGCAAUACCAACCUAUGGAUAGGGGGUAGGACAAUCAAUUAUUUUUGCUUCUUUUCUUAACGCGUUAUUAGUUACUAGGGGAGGCUAGGGAUAUCAAGCCAGUAAUUAGUAAUAGACUCUUUUCGCCGAGAGAUCGGAUUAAGGGUAGGCCAAGAAAGUUUGCAUAACAAUUAGAUAAUCAAGCACAUUAAACAAGAGUAGAUAAGAGGGAGCAAAUAAGAUGAAAUUGUCAGCCCCCAACAACUCCAUUCAUCCAUAGUCUUUUUCGUCAAUUGAAUCAAACACAUUGCAUGUUUAUUUUUUGUCCUUGCAUUCCAAACAAUUAAUUUUUCUCUGCAAGUCUUACGAUCUCAAUUCACACGAACGAUAAGGCCUUUCGAGUCUCUUGGGAAGAACGAUAUCGGGUAUUAUCGAUUAUAUUACUUGCACGAUCUGGUACACUUGCUAGUGAGUCAAAAAUUAUACACAUGGUCAUCUCUCUCCAGUUUAUCAUCACCUCCCCCAACUUAGCUAACCAUUCAACGCCUACGAUGAUGUCCACACCCCCUAAUUCGAACACAUAGAAUUCCUCCUCCACAAUAGCUUCCUCCAAGCUCAUCCGAACUUUCUCACAGCGUCCUCUGGUCAUUUUCUUUUGCCCAUCUCCUAGACUCACCACAUAUGGUGGUGUGUCUGUUAUGGGUAGCCUCAAUUCCUCGAUCAGUUCCAGGCUGAUGAAAUUGUGGCUUGCACCACUAUCUAUGAGCACCACCACUCCCCUUUCUUCAAUCAUCCCUGUCAGUUUCAUUGUUUUAGGUGGAGUCAACCCUUCGGCUGAACAAGUUGACAACUCCAUGGGCUUCUUCUCCUAGUCUACCACCUCUUCACUCACAUCUUCCUCCUCAUCCUCCGCCAAGAGCAACACGCGCAAACUUCUCUCCGUGCAAGGUGUGGACGACCCCUCACAACGAAAACAUCGACCUUCUUCCUUCCACUUAAGGAAUUCCAGGCAAGGGAGAUUUCUCACCAUUCUUCCCCGGUUAUCGUUUCCUCCGAUGGCGCUCGCCCUCGCAUUCGUACUCGUCGCGACUCCAUCUCUUUCCACCGAUCACAUACUCUCUGUUCCCCCUGACUGGUUCAUCGUGGGUCUAUUAUGUUCAUAUCGCAUCACUACACCCAUCGCUCGUGACCUCGAUGGGUUAAUCUUGAACCCACUCCAACUACCUCCUUUCGCUCUAAGCGUCGCAUCUUCCACGUCCCGUGCGAUUCACAUUGCCACCAUCAACUCCUGAGGAUCUUGAAUUCACACCUGCCCCUUGAUGUCCUCACGCAAUCCGACGAGGAAAUAGCGCAACACUUGUUCUUUGGAUAUGCCCCUGGUUUUCCCCACCAGUAUUUCAAAAUCGCGGACUCCUCCUCCAUGGUACCCUCCUAUCGUAGCGUCGCCAACCUUUCAAACACCAUUCUCCGAAAUCCUCUUCCAAAUUGGUUGACCAUGGCUGUCUUGAGGCCUUCCCAAGAACGAUUCUUGGCCUUUUCUUUCCAGAACUUGAACCAGUAAGCCGAACUUCCCCCCAUGCUAACGUACGUGAGCUCCACAUUUUCUUCUUCUUUCGUCGCCUUCUGUAUAUCGAAGAACCACUCCGCCCUAUUGAUCCAACUAAGGGGUUCUAACCCAUCGAAUGUGGGUAAAUCCACACGCUUCCGCCACGGUCUCUGAUCUUCAUGGCGGUCGCCGACCACUCUGCCUCCACCAUCCUCCUCUCGUCGCCGUAGAUUCUCGUUCACGGAGCUAUCAUUUAACUGCCUCUCUAUGUUAUUAACCUGAGGCCCCCGUAUCCUCAUUAUCUGUUGUAAGUCCCUUCGUACUGCGGCAGACUCCGCCUUUAUCCCCUCCAUAGUGAUCUCAAUUGCCUCCAAUCACCCCUUCGUACUUCUCUCUAUUAUCGUUUUUUGUGCCAAAUUUGGAUCCGGCAAGUCGGACCAAAUGAUAGGUUUCUGAUCAAGAAACCUAAAGAAACUCACUCUAACUCACCCAAAAGAAUGCAACAGAAAUACUGUAUAACCUCUCUUUGUAUUAUCAACAGUAAAGAUACAAUGUACAAUGAGCUAUGAAAGCCUAACCUCCCCCUACAGGAUCAAUAAUUCCUAUUUAGAAUAUUGUGAAUGAAGAUACGUAGAAGCAAGACCAGUCUUUGUCAGGUUCACUUCCCAAAAAUCAAAAUCAUUUUUGAAAAUCAUUUUCAAAAAUCCAAAUCAUUUGUAAAGAACUACGUAACCUUGAUUUAUUAUUUUGAAUGAGAAUACGUAGGAGCAAGAUCAAGCAUUCUCAGGCCAAAAAAGCUAAAAAAAUAUAUCUUUUGUUUCUUUAGAGUGUCAUUUUUGAGAUAAUUAAACGUUUUAAAAUCUAGGUCAACUUCGCAUAUUUAAUUAAAGAUAUUGUCUUUGGGCAGACUUUGGUAGGGUACUAAUACAUUCCUUACAUGUAACUGACUUCCGAACCCACAAUUUAGUUUUCAUAAACCAUGUAUUGCUUUAUGGUUUUUUCAUAGUCGAAUAAACUAUAGUAACUCCAAAAUCUCUUUUUUAAACUAGACUUUUUUGUUUUGCCGUUCCGUCAUGAUUUCAAUUCGAAAAUUGAUCUAUAAAGGGAAGUUAGUUUUGCCAGGCGAUGUUCACGGAUUUAUUAAUUUUGUCUGAAUUUCAAAAUUCAGCAGUUGGAGGCCACUGAGGAUUUUUCAAGAUGUAAAGAGAAUUUCGACCUUUGUAUAUUGUGAAGGUAUGAGGAAGAUAUUCAGCAGUAUGUUGCAGCGUGAGGUUUUCUAACAGAAUAAAUAUCAAAAUUUAUACCCAGCCGCUGUGCCCCAGCCAGAAGUCACAGAUGUUUCGUCUGACAUAUCAAAGUAUUUUGUUGAAGGUCUUACAAAGACACGUGGGAAGGAUACCAUAAAAUAAUAAUAGUGGUUGAGUGACUCACUAAUAAACUAAAAUUGUAAAUAAAUGAUUGGAAACUUAUCUAUGGUUUUUGACAGGAAGCAAACCAAAAGUGUGGCCUAAAUGGCUAAGCUGGGCUGAAUUUUGCUUCAACACCAAUUAUAACAGUUCAACUAAAUUGACACCAUUCAAGGCCUUAUAUGGAUGUGACCCACCUCAUCUCCAAAAGGGUACCACAGUACCUUUAGCAGUAGAAGAAGUAAACAAACAUACUAAUACAUGAAAGAGACGAUAUUCUCCACUACUUGAAGACGUACCUUUUGAAAGCACAAAAUAAGAUGAAAAAGUUUGUUGAUAAACAUAUCUCACACUUGGAGACUGAAAUCCUUGGCAAAGAAAAGGAAUGAUAAAUUGAGUCCAUGAUUUUAUGGCCCUAUACUAUCCUUUAUAUUCAAUCCAUUCCUUACAGAUACUUUCUUUGCAAUUGCAAGAUGAAAGAGGUUACGAAGCACAUGAAAAAAUGGCUAUAGUAGUAUAUGUAAUAGUAAAUAGCUUGUAACUCAAGGGUUUCUAUUGGUGUUUAGACCAACAAAAGUAACAAGGUAUGCAACGAAUUAACAGAAACACAAUGAAAGCAGAAAUGUGUGGAACAAAACUUUCUAGAUCUUUAGAAGUAGUGUCAAUGUAUCUGCAUCUUAUUCAAAAGUCUUUGGCAUUUCUUGCACAUUUGUUUACUUAUUGUCUCACGCAUAAGUGAGGAUCGGCACUGAUAUAGAAAGUAAAUACAUUGAAUUUAAAAGUACUCAAUAAUCCUUGUCCUGGAAUCACUUUGACUUUUUAUCUAAAGCUACGUUACUUUCGUUAUAAGCCUUGUAUGGUGCAGCUGUAUACGCAUAUUGCUGAUAUAUAGAGAAGAAAACCAUCUCAAUACAAACCAAAAUGUUUUGGUAGCCUUCUUCAAUGCGUUCCACAGUUAACCAGGAGUAACGGGAUCGAAUUAUUCCCAAUGCUGCCAGGAGAUCAAGCACAAUUCCCUGCAUAAUUGAAUGAAAUUAGCAGUUAAUCUAAUAUAUCAUCUGCAUUAAACCAACACGAUCUUGUAUAUCUAACACAAAGAUUCCUUAUUUCCAGGAUUCUUCGUGCGUAUAGUUCAGAAUCCUGAAGAAGUUCUAUAAGCGUAAUUUGUUAGUCCUCAAUAUACAUAGUGUGUCUGGAAGAACUUAAUUAUUGUUUAUUUGGAUUUAUUUAUAACAAGUUGUGUUUGAAAAGAAAAAAAAAAAAAAAACUUAUGAAAACAGCUUAUGCUAAGUGUAUAAGCUGUUUUCAGCUUAUUUCAAAUAAACAUUUUUGGAUAGUUCAUGAAAAUGACUUACAAAUUGUAUGAAAACAAUUGAAUUUAUUUCCUCUUUGGUUAGAAUUUAUUUUUAUAAGUUCUUCUACCAAUAAGCAAGUGAUUUACCCAAACAGGCCUAUAAUCUAGAAUCAAUUAGUUAACUAAGAGUAAUGUGCAGAGACGGAAGACUAGCAGUGAUGAUAAAUUAGAAAUUCCAAAAGCAUUUCAUCUUAAAAAAAGGAUAUAAUUUUAAUAGAACAAUCUAAAUUCUACAGAAGCAAAAUCUUAUAUAAUUGUUUAUCCAUCAUGGUUCAAAAUAUCAAGCCAGGGCAUAGGAGCAUACCUGCCAAAAGCAGAAAAAGACAAUUCCUUUUAUGCACAAAAACUUGGCAAGAGGCUUAUGCGGUUCCAACUCUUUAGAAAACACGUGGUAGAAAACCACAAGAGAAUAGAGUGCAAGUGACACUGAAAUGUUUAGGAUGAUUGUGUUUGCCCAGCUGACCCAACUGGGAUAAACAUCAAAAUACUGCAGUGUUAUCAUCAGGAUUGAGCACACCGGACGUAUCACAACAAAUUGCCAAGUCCAGUUUUUGAGAAGCUUCAGUGUCUUAUGGUCCAAACGUGUAGUGUGAGGCUGCAGAUUGUGGCCAUAACAAGUAGAAAUGUUCAUGGAUGUAAGCAUUACAAUGUUUAGUGUAAUUAAUUGACGAACAAGUGUUGCUGAUGAUUCUAAGUAUCUUAUGAAGCAUGCAACGUUAUGCACAAAAUCACUACGUAACUAGAUCUCUCCUUCACUUAGCAAGGAGAAAUGACCAGAGCUUUUUUCCAAAGUGAGGGCUUAGUAUGGAAAACAUGUAUAACCUGUAGGUUUAAAAUACCCUAUUAGUUAGAAAACAGGCACGCUACUUAACUUUUAAUAUACUACAAAUGAUGGUUUUAAUAAAACAUAUUUAUUGUUGUUAUUUUAAAUCCUAAUGUCACUUCACAGUCAUCUUAUGUGUGUGUAUAGAAAACCAGGUUGUUGCCACUGAAAAGGAAACAUCAAAUACGGUGUAAGUGGUCUCAGUGUUAGUUGUGGCUUUAACAAUGCAAUAUCUCAAAGUAACAGAGGAGAAAUAAUAAAAACAAUAAAGCUGAUAUGAUAGAAAUAUGAUAUUGAUCUUUAUUCAUCUAAUACUUCUUGCUCGCUCUGCUGCUCUUGUUGUAAUACCAUUAAAAAGGUGUGAUUAAGAGUUGGGAGUGGAUCCAUGAGCAGGAUCUGUGAUCUAACUCCACUGAAAGACAUUCAAACCCAUAAAAAAACCGCAUAACAUAGUCGUGCUGCCUAUAUGAUCUAGCAUUUCUCAUAGCUAACAGGUUCUUGGGCUUACACACCGAGGAAUUGAUCUAUAAUGCUCCAACUCUUCCCACAUUGAUUUCAACUCCUCUCACUGAAGUUCUAUUGUAUCUUGCAGAUUCCACAUUGACUAUAAAUAUAACCAUAUAAUAAUAUAUAACUGGAUGUAAAACUCAUAUUACAAACUAUUUAUAAAGUUGAGCUAGGCCUAAAUCAGCUUUCUAAUGAUAUAUUUUUCUAAUCAAUACAGACUCAUUGUUUAUCACAAUGGAAAGACAAAUAACACCAGUAAUGGAUAAUACUAAUGAAUAAAGCACCCCUUUUUCGUACAUGGUCCAAGAGGCCAUACAUCUACUACUCCAAAAACCUCACUUGUGUGAUACACCACUUCUGCCAACAUAAUUAUGCAGCGGAGCACAUUCAUAAAACAUUACAAAAAAGUUUGAGUAUCAACCACCUGAAAAAGUGUCAUCGGAAAUGAAUGGUGAAUCUCUCUUCCCUUGAUCUCAUCCGGCACUAUGUUCUUACUCAAGGAAAUGUUCAAAUAACUGUACAUCAAGCUCAAAAACUUAGCAAUCACCUGUUGGCAACACAUUGCAAAAGUUGUGAACUACUGAAUUAUAAUGCAUUAAAUUUCUAAAAUGAACUAAAUUUAAAUAUAUGUAGCUUGAAAAUACUAGUAAGGGUUACACAUAAGACCAUAGUAAAAAUUAUCUGUACAAAUCUUACCAGAGCCUCAUAACACUCUUUAAUGGAGUCCAGCAGUGUGAAAAAUGCUUCACUUCCAAAGAAAUUGAUCAAACCAACAUAGGAGUCUACAGCAUACAAUGGGGCCAUAAGGAUUAUAAUUACUAUGGCCUUUUGCUCCUUUGGUUUCCUCCAGUUUGAAACAUGUUCUGCGAGUAGCUUCAUAGCAAAGUGCACUGUUAUCAUGACGCACAAAGUGGAUCCAUAGAACACGAUCUGUGCAGGAUGCAUUUGAUUGUCUCUGAUGUUGAGCUUGAUAUUACCUUAUUGAACCUGCAAAAGGAUGACUAAGCUGGUCAAGGGAACUCAGCUGAAGAUAAUAAUAUGAACAUUAUAAUCACUUACCAUAAUGAUAGUUAACAAAAAGGAUAUUAAUUUUACAAGUUUGGAGUCCGAUUUUCACGAUGGUGGGUCAGUUGAUCAUUUGUUACUUCUAUGAAAAUUGACUAUUCAUUUUCCACUUAUCUGGUGAACCGGUGAACAUGAAACUUCGAUACUUCCAUUCUUUUCCACUGAAGUUCUGCCUUACUCUUAUUACAUUCCCCUACCCAUUUCUCCCAACAGUUCAAGAUUGACUAAACCCCACCAAUUAGUCUUUUAUACCACCCUGAUUCUUUUCAUGACCAGGCUUUACUUUGUCUAUAUCAAAUGACUCACAUGACAACAAAAGAAGAAUUCUUGCAUCCAACUCAAAAUCACAAGAUGGUAAAGAUAUAAGUUGUGAUACAGAACAAUCAGGCACUGCGAUGUUGGACUGUCCCAACUGAACCACACCAUAGAUGAGACACCCAAAAAUCACAGAGACUAUUCUCCAGGGAAAUAGAGUACCAAUCAAGCAACAACUUCUCUCCCUAUUGGUGUUGCUCUAUUUGCAUAGCUAGGAACUGAACCCCUGUCAUAUGUUUAGAAGGUCCAAGCUUAAUCACUCAUUUAGUACCAUAUUUUCUACAAAAACAGCCUCAUUAAUCCCCAUUGUUCCUUUCUGUUAUGGAAUCAACUACCUAAAUCGCUCCAUCAAUACUCACUCUCCUAAACCCCUCCAAUAAUCAAUGUCCUAAACUUCUCCAUUCAUUGCCAAGAACCCUAAAUCCCUUUUAAAUAGUCACACCUUCUAGAGUACAGAACUCGCCCUUGAUCGAGCAUAAUAACACUUCUACCAAAAACAAGUGUAUUCCCUGACAUCUCAACAAAAGGGUAAGAAAAAAAAAACUCACUUGAGUGAAUGGUGUGACUGACUAUAACACCACAACCACUAAAUCGUGUAUGCCCUUCUGUUCUGCACCCUAAACCAAAAGUGAAGCCAUGAAUCUAGAUUUAUAGAGAUUCCGAAUGAAUAAAUGCACUCAACAAAAACAAAAAAACAAACAAACAUGUACACUAAAUUUGUAUCUCAAAGAAGCAAAAACAUUCCAAAGAAGUGAAUAAACCAUAUGAUAGUACCACGACAGAAAUAUAAUCACACAAAUCAUGAGCAAGUUUGGAAAUACAAGCAGCAAUGGCGAUGUUACCAAUGUUCCAAACUUUGAUUUACCUUCUUUGAUGAUUUGUGUAAUUGUAUUUUGAAAGUAAUAAACACCACAAUUAAAUUCUUGUCGUACCGUAGCAGGGAGUGAUAGAUUAAACUGGUGAUGGAGAACACUAUGAUGCACAGUCAAAGUCCGGAUCAACGACUUUCUGGAUAUUAUGAAAAGUCCAACAAUAAUAUUUAAUGCAUACAAUAAACAUUCAUGUUUUUAAAUAUAUAAGUUGUAUUAUAAUUAAGAUUUGUCGACAUUAGUGAUUCAAAUCUAGUUUUGAAUGUACAAAAAGUAUACUUUACAUUAACUCUGUAAGUACGCAAACAUUGCACGUUUCUUCCCCCUACAACACAUGCUUUAUUCUAUGUAAGACGAGAGACACGGGCGUUUUUUAAUAUUUAAAAAAUAGAAAGAAAAAUCAAAAUGAUAGAUAUUAAAUAGAAAAAGAGAAUUUAUUAUUAUUUUUAAAUUAGAUUUUACAUGUACAAAAAUACUUGUGCUGUGUCAUUACAAAAUAAUAAUAAUAAUAAUAAUAUUUAUAUUUUUAAUUAUAAUAUUGUUUUUUUUAAAUAACUUUAGAGUAUUUGAUUUAUUUUAAGAUGGAAUUAAUUGUUUUUAAGAUGAUAUAUUGUUUUUAGUCAUUUUUGCUGAGUGUGUUUAAGAUGCGGGGCGUAAUGUCCGUCUAAACUAAUAUUGAAUGAGGUAUAGUAUUGACAAAUAAUUAGAUGUUAGGAUUCUUGUUAACCAGUGUUAAAUAUUAAUUUUUAAUUAUUUCUAAAUCCUUAUUGGUGUAGUACAAUUAAAUCCUAAUUAAUUUUUUCGAAAUGUCUGAUUUCCUUUCAAGAACCGUAAUUAUUUUUGUCUUUUCCAUCUUUGGAUUCUUUUCGACACAUUCUAAACUAGUCAAGUCUAACAUUAUUAGUCACCACGAGACCCCACCACCGCGAGGCCCCAAUGACUCAAACCCAUUAGCACCUACAUAGUCCUAACUCUCACAAUCAUCACUAAGAUCCAACAAGAGUCCAAACACAUGAAGAAUAGAAAUCCAAAAAAAAUUCUAAAUCAGAGACCAUACUCCCAAAUCUCGAGCCAUAAGAGAGAACAGAAAAAUCUCAAAAUGCAAUAUUAUUAACCCCAAUCUGUAGAGAACAAAUAAGAACUCAAUUCGUAAACAAAAAAUUUUAAAGUCGCAAGACUAAAACGCAAGAAACAGAAACUCCAAGCUUCGCGCCAUCAAAGGAGAAGAAGAAAAAGGGAAAGAAGAGAAUAUGAUUUUACUGGAUUUUGAAAAGAAAGAUUCUUAACUGGAUUGCCUAAAUUAUUUUCAGAAAAGAUAAAAAAUGAAUUUAAAAAGACAUUACCAUAAACAAUAGCAUAUAACAUACUAAAUUGUGGUCAAAUACAUAACAUAAUUGUAGAAAAUAUAAUAAAAGUAUAUACAGGUUUUAAAUUACAAAAGAAACUUAGAAAAGAAAGUAUGGUUAAUAAAAAAAGAAAUAUUAACAUUUUGCUAACAGUAUGGCAUGGAGCCUAUUAAAUUACUAAGUGUAAGGAAAAAGAAAGUAAAUAAAAGAAAAGAAGAUAUAUAAAAAUGUAUACAAAAUUCCAAAAUAAAUCAAAUAAUCAAAAUACAAAAAAUAAAAAGGCUACAAGAAAACUCAAAUAUAAAAAAUUAAAGAAAAAAGAUAAUGUGUAUUGGAAAUGUGAUAGACUAGGCUAUUAUGCUAAUAGUUGAAGGGUAGCACAAAAGAUAAAUCAAAUAGAAGAUGAGAAAUUAAAAAAAAAAAGUUUAUUAAACAUUUUAUUGAAUUUCGAACCAGAGAAAUCUAAUAGUUCAUUAGAAGAGAUAAUUACUCUUUAGGCCAAGGAGUAUAUGAUUGUACAAAUUGUAAAAUAUAAAUGUUAACAAAAGACCAAAUUUUUACAUUAAUUUCUAUAAUAAACAAAUUAGAAUAUUCACCAUUAAAAAAUGAAUUUUUACAAUAAUUAAAUAAUUUAAUAAUAUGCAGUGAAGAAGAUCAAUAAUAUGUAAAACCAAUAAAUACGAAAAAAAUUUACAAUAGAUUUAAGAGUCCAAUUUAACAAGUAACAAUAAAAGAUUUACAAGAAGAAAUAUAAAAAAAAAUCUUAAACAAAAGAUAUAAAUAUAAAGAGAAAAUAAUAUAUUUUAUAAUAUAGAUUAUUAGAAUUAGAAGGAAAAGAGAUUAUAACAAAUCAAAAUGAUAAAGAGAAAUAAGACAUUGAAAACACAUAUAAUAAUAGUUAUAUUAAUUUAUUGAUAGUUAUAUUAAUUUAUUGAGUUUGAUAACCACUCAUAAAUGGCAUGUUGAAGUAACUUUAGUUAUGAAAAAAGAAACAUUUAAAACAAUAACUUUAGUGGAUUCUGGAGCAUAUGUGAAUUGUAUUCAAGGAUUAAUUCCAACACAAUACUAUGAAAACACAGUAGAAAAAGUAUCUAGUGUAAAUGGAUCAAAAAUGUAUAUACAAUAUAAGUUAUCUAAUAUAAAAAUAUAUAAAACCAAAGUUUGUUAGAAUACUUCUUUUGUAUUAAUCAAGAAUAUGAAUACUCCCAUGAUAUUAGGAACCUCAUUCUUAACCUUAUUAUACCCUUUUAGUGUAACUGAAUCUAGUGAAGUUGUGUGAAAAACACUAGAAGAGGGUAGGGAGAAGUUGAAUAGUGUUUUCAUAACUCUUUUCUUCUUCUUUUUUAUCUAGAAGACUGAUCUUGAUAUACAUAACACUUAUGAGUCAGUUGUUCUUCACUAUAAAUGAUAUUCUGUGAAUAUCGCUUACUGGACUAACUCAAUACUUCCCAACAAAUAUCUAGACAGUAAGUCGACGAAAAUAUAAUUGUUUGCUGACAACUUGUUGCUAGCUUGAGUGUAUAUGAAGAUCGCUUCCGUUAAGAAACAAUCAUUUACUAGAUAGACUACAACACACAAAAUAUUUUUAUACUGGUUCACUCGUUAGAGCUACAUUCAGUUCUCCUCUAUGGGUUCCAUUAAGUAUUCGAUGAAGUACAUUUGAGUGUUUUAAACCAUUAUUGGUGUUCCUAGUCCUAUUGAGUAACCAUUGUUACUUUUGACUAGUUGAGUUUCACUCACUCAUGAUUGUGUAGUAUUAUUCACCACUCUUGGUAUCCCUAGACGCUUUUGGUAUCAUUCUAAUACAUCGUCUAAUUGAGUUUAACCCACUCCUGGUUGUGAAGUAUUCUUAACUACUCUUGGUGUCCCUGAUUCGCGAAUAACCUCCAGUUAUCCUAGACCAAUUGAGUAUUCUCACCACUCUUGGUAUCCUUAGUCAGCGAAUAACCUUUCGUUACCCUACACUGAAUGAGUAUUCAAACCAGUCCUGGCAUCCCUGAUCAACAAUAAUCUUCUAUUGCCCUAGAUCAGUUGAGUAUUCACACCACUCUUGGUAUCCCUGAUCAGCUAAUAACCUUUCGUUAUCCUAUAUCAGUUGAGUAUUCACACAACUUCUGGUACUAGACAACACUGUCUAGAUUUCCUUAACUCUCCUAAGUAGUAAGUGUUUUGUUUCUCUCUAGAUUUGCAAUCAAAAAUUGCUUACAAAUUGUUUAGACUAUUACUCUCAUGGAGAGAAUAUAUGUUCAAUACAAUACAAUAUAAACACUCACAGAUGUUUCUCUCAUCACUCUUUUCUCUCUACUUACGAAAGUAAGCAAAUAUUACAAUGAAGUUUGAGAGUACUACUUGAAUUCUCUUUUUCUCUCUUCUCUCUCCUUAAAAAUAAGUAGAUAUUACAAUGAAAUUUGAGAGAACUUCUCAGUAUUUCACUCUAUUACUCUUUUCUUUUUCUUAGAAAAGUAAACUGAUAUUCUAAUGAGGCUCGAAUUUAUUCUUUUGAGCUCUUUUAUUUCUCUAAUCCUUGGUUAGAGGAAUUUUACUUUGAUAGAUCAAAGAAAUUUCCUUGUUCAACUUUGAUGAUUUUAUUUCUUCAUAUUCUUCUCUCCUUUUUCAUCAUCAUCUUCUUCUUCUAUUGAUAUUAUAUUUAUACACUUUGAUGAUAUAGCCGUUUGACGAUAUUUGUCUCAAGAUUUGAUAAUAUGACCGUUUGACGAAGCUUGUCUCGAGGUAUGAUCAUUACUGGCUAUUGGUGUAGGUGUCUAUCAUAGGAUGAAAUCUUUUUGUCAGAGUAGACAUGUUUUUCAGAAUUUUAUCAAAAGAAAAUUUGACUUCUCAUUUGACACAACUUUUGAUGAACAAAUCAUUCUUCUUUUUACCUUUUUCUUUCGAACGUUCAUUUUUUAUUCUCAUAAGGUGGAACAUAUGAAUGCUUGUAGUAAAUGUUUGGCAUAAGAUAGAACGAAUGUAUAUAUAAAAAGUAUAUUUUAUUACCGGUUUGUUUUGAUGUUUUUAACCGUUAAGUAUUUAAUGUUAUUUAAAGUUUGUUCAAGAUUUUAUGUUUUCUAUUGUUUCACUGAGAGUGUGUUUGAUUUCGUUUAGUCUACAAAAGACUUUUUCUUGAUUAAUGUUUUACUUGUUGUUUUCAAUAUUUGUUAAAAGAAAAUUGUACUUGUUUUUAAGUCACGAUUUCCUAAGGGAAGAACAUUAUGUGAUUGUCAUUCUUGUUACUUACAUUAUAGGUUUAGGUGGAUGUUUGUAGUGUAGAUUAUCUUUAAAGAAUAAAUAAAGUAGAUUGUGGGUACAUCCUUUCAUCUGUAAGUUCAUAUCAAACUAAUGUAUUCGUGAAUUUCUCGGUUCGUCCCGAUAACGAGGUGAAUGUCUCUGUAGGUGAUAAAUUCGAGCAGGCCCUUGAGAUUCUUUUCAUCUUAGAUGGCGAUGAGUUGGGCUAGGGCUUCGAUAAGGAUAUUGUCAUUCCCUCUGAUGUUCGCUAUGUCAUAUAGAGGGCUAACUUUUGCUCUGAACUAUUGCCACUAAAGUUUAUAUUUUUAUUUCUUAUAAUAUACGUGUAGAAUUAUACUUAUUUAUGACGAAAUAAAUUCUUUUACCCAUUUGAGAAACCAGUAAAUGUAAUUAUUAUCUUUAAUGUUUUACAUUUAAAAAAUUAUACCACUAUUAGUUAUUAUUAUUUUUUAAUAAAUUUGGUAUCAAGCUUUAACAUCCUAAUUAAAUUGACAUACUAAAACUCCAAAAAAAGAAUUAUAGAUGACAUAUUUGAUAUUUCUGACUUUUUUUUUUGUUAUAUCCAAGAUAUAUCUUAUUAUAUCUUUUAAUGUAUUUUUUUCAAGAAAGGAAUAAAAGUAUAAAUAAAACUGAUCAAAUGCAAAUCGUCUUGUCAUAAAUUAGAAUGGAUCAUAUCUUAAACCAAAUAAACUAACUAAAGAAUUAAGAAGACCAAAGUAAUUGGAUUAGAUAAUUUUUCUCUCUAAAAUCAAUCGAAUUCAAUUCAAUUCAUAGACACUCGUAAUUUGUAUAAUUUUCGAGUAAAUACAUUAAAAGGAAGAAAAACAAAUUAAAUUGUAACACAUUAAUUUUUAAAAAGAAAAAAGAGUUAAUUUGAAAGGAAUGGAAAUUCAAUACCUAUUUGGAGACAAAAUUUACAUUGCACAGUAUGAAAACAAAAAAUGAAAGUUGAAUUACUAAAGAUUACACAUACAAAUAUGAGAAAUUACUUGUGUUGAAUUUCUACAAGUCUUGACAAGAUUGAUCAACUAAGUACAAACUACAAAGCAUCAAAAUCUGAUCCCCGAAAACUUCCUUCAAACAGAAUGAAGAGUGCGAUAAACUAGCUAAACACUAGCUACAAAUUCUACCAGUGAGGGUAUAUAUAAAUUUUAACUGGUGUUCGUGAAGUGUGAUUGAAUACUGAAAUUUUGUAUGAACUUACUCUCUCAAAAAUGAUUCUGUCAAAGAGAUUUCAAAACUUCUCCAAGGACUAAUCCCCACUGAGUCCAAUGGGUGCCACCCUGCAUUUAGAAAAUCAAAUUAAAACCUUAAAUAAGAAUGUAAGAGCAAAUCAUAGAUAGUUCUUCAGAAGUGGAUCUUAAGCAUAAUUUCAGCUCAUAAAAUUGACUUAUAAAAUGAGGUUUAUCCGACCAAUAUAUUGUAGAUUUCUCUUAUCUCUAGAUGUGAGAUUUCCAAUAGUAUUAUUGAAUGAUACUAAUGACCUUACUUGACAAAAUACAGCAAAAGGCUCUCUAAGAGGACCAUCACACGAAAGCUCACUUGUACUUCCAUCAAUGAAAGUUCCAUCAGCAAAGAUCACCUGAGAUUGAUAAAAGGGUUGAUAAUGAUGACUAGGAGAGCAUAGUAAAGCAUCCUAAAAGGUUCAAAACUGACAAAAGAUUAUAGAUUUGGGUGUAGAUUGUGGAGACAAAUCUGAGUAGACCUCUGAUGCAUAUCCGGCAGUGGUGCCUGCAACUGGUUUGGUAUAUGAACCGACUGGAGAGCUUCUCUGAACAGCCUCACAGAAUGCAAGGAGACGCUCACGACUUCCUAGCUGGACAGCCUAUUGCAUUGAAGAUGAACUUUAUUUUUCAUCUGAGUAGUUAUCAUACUUAUCAAAGAUAAAUUGAUCAAUAAGUACUUACAGAAGAAAAUGAAAAUGUGAAAUGAAUCUAACUUCUGCUAAAAGUUAUCAACUUACCACGAUGCUUUUAGAAGUUCCUUCAUUUAUCUUUACUAGAAUUUAAGGAGUAUAAGUUGAUUUAACUUACCAUGGCUGGACUCAUUUACAGUGUCAUUUUUCUAUCCUAUAAGUACUUACUGAAAAGUGUAUCCAAAUAGGACUUAACUAGUUGUCCAAUUCAUCGAUAGUUUUUCAACCAGCAACAAUUUUUUGCUAGAAAUGCAGACAACAUUUUAUUUAAGAAAACAGAAGAUUCAGUAAGAAAACCUGAACUGUAUCAGAACGGGGGACACGGGGGAGUGGCUGCACUUUAUAUCCUUUAGAUGCCAACACUUCAGCAAUCAGGAAGGAACCCUUACAUAGAUUAAAGAAUUGUCUCACUACAAAGCAUGAAGAAGAAAAGCACAAUCUACUGAUUAAAAUGAAGAAUUAAGUACCUUGAUUGCUUCCCCAACCAUUUGAGGUGAAAGAAAUAAUCCCUGGAAAAAGGCUCGCAUGAUAUCACCCGGAAUUGCGCCACAAUCCAAGCCAAGUCCAGGUGCAGAAAGACGAGCUGCAGCUGCUUCAACCCAUUUUUGCUUCCCAGCAACAUAUCCCCCACAUGGUGCAAUUGUUCCACCUGGAUUCUUGAUCAAACUGCCUGCAAUCAAAUCUGCACCCUGCUACCAAUGUACAAUAUAAAUAUGUAAUACUAAACAUACAGGAAAUCAACAAAAGCCAAAACUAUCAUGUUAUCACAUACCACCAUGGGAGGUUCAAUGCUUUCAACAAAUUCACCAUAGCAAUUGUCCACCAUGACUGAGCAGCUGGGAUUUUGCACCUGUACAAGUAUAAAAAGUUACAGCCUUAAAGGAGAAUAGCACAGACGAAAUAAACUGCAAAGGUACCCUUUAUUGUGAAACCUAACCUUGAUUAUUUUUAUUGCUCUUGCUAUGUCAUUGACACUCAAACUCCGGCGCCAUGAAUAACCACAUGACCGUUGUAUGAGGGCACAUUUUGUUUUGGGUUUGACAGCACUCAUCAGCGAAUUCCAAUCAAGUCCACCAUCCUCAGCAAGCUGGAGGAAAAUACCCAAGAGUCUUAGAAAGCAGACUAGUGAAUUACAACCAGAAAAAGUAUUAGUAAGUAGUGUCAUACCGGAACUUCUCGGUACUUCACCCCGAAAUCUUGGAGAGAACCCAGUCCACCAGAGUCCCUUUUCCCAAUUACUUCCUCUAGUGUGUCAUAGGGAGCUCCAGCAACUGCCAAAAGCUGCCAGCUAUAUCAGUCUAAACCUUGUUCUAGUUACAAAUAAAAGUAUUCAACAGAAAAAUAUUCUACAACUGUAUAAGGGUAACUUUUAGCAAAUAAUGAAAAACAGAGAAUGUGAUAACCAAUAUUACCUCAUCUCCAGGCCUCAGGAGAGCAAAUAAAGCACAUGUGAUAGCAUGAGUACCUGAGAAGAACUGUUGACAGAUGAGAAUAUUAUAAAUCAUAUACCUAGUGCCGUCUAAAACGGAUAGAUGCAUGCAAUUUUAUCCCCACAAGUGCUUAGUGUGUUUCUUGAAUUUGAACUCGUGAUAUCCAAAACAUAUAAGGAAAUAGCCUUACCGUUAUGCCAAGUCUUCAGUAAGAACUAAUAAGUAGAGUAAAAAGGAACAUAUUGGAAAACUAAGAACCUGUGAACGAACAAUAGCUGACUCAGCCCCAACAAUUUCUGCAAAAGCCUGGUCAAGAGCUCCUCGACCCCCAGCUUCAUCAUGACCAUAACCAGUGCUACCACCAAAGUGCUGAUAGAACAUAAACAAUAUUCAUAUUAUUAGAAACUGAUUUGAAUCCACAACACGGAUAAUAACUAAUUCUGCAGAAAUUAUAAUGAAAAAGUUUGAUAUCAUGAUUGUGUUAACUACCAAGGCUCACAGGCAGAUAGAAAUUUAUAUCCAACAAAGAUGACAGUGACCAACCAUGGAACCACACAGGCAAGCUCCUAACAAACAAAUUUAGGACAGAGUACUGAAAAACAGAAGUAAACUAAUGCGAUGAUGACUUUGCAGAUAAAGCUUUCACUUUCACAGAAAUUUAUUUUAUCCAUUUUAGGGGAAGGAGAGUCUUUCAUUUCCUCUUUGCUACAUGUCAGUUACAGUGUACAGAACUGCAAUUUAUCUGCACCUUCGGCGAUAAGUGUUCAAUAAUUGAGUGAACUGAAUGUCAAGUAUGGGAGGGCAGAAAAAUCAUUCCAAUGGCUUAAAAGGCAUAUCUAGCAACAACACUAAAAACAGGUAAAGUAAGUUCUAUUAGCUUCAAACCCAUGAUGGGCAUCAAAUAAAAUAAUUAUUGAUCCAAUAAUAUUUUAGCAUCUUUGCAAACAGGUUAUGCAAGCUUACAUGAGAUCCAACUCGAGCAUUCUGAAAAGCUCUAAGGACACGAGUGGUAUUGCAGGCAACCAAAUUAUCCACAGCCCUAAACUCUAAAUGUAAGGCAUCUACUGCUGUUACAACCUGCACUACAAGAAAAGGAAACCAUAUACCAUUACUAUUCUUAACCAAUCCACAAGCAUUUUCAGCAUGUGAAUCAAACACCCCUUCAAAAUCAGAAUUUUUCCUCCAAACAAUAAAUUAAAGGUUCGUAACACUCUGGGUUCAGAAAACCAGAAGAUAAUCUCUAAAAUUCAGGGAAAGAACAAAAUAUACAUAUUUUGAGGAAUAAAAAGGAAUUCAAAUCAUAUGCCACGUGUCCUUUCCAUAUAGAAGAAGCAAGAAUGCAAAUUUAUAUGUGCAUUUCAACUGAUCCAAGCAGUUUUGCGCAUUUAUCAGUAACAUUCUCAGAGAGAAGCGAAAAUCUCAAUCCUCUAGAACUAGUUUUUAUUCAUUUCCUUAACUGAAAACCAAAUUCUUGACUGAAAAAAAAAAGGAUAUUCAACCAAAACAGACCUAAUUGAUUCUCUCCUUCCUACAAAUUCCAAACAUUUUGUUAAGCUCUACAAAGCCUAGCAACACAAUUCAUAUAGCUCAAACUAAAAGGAUAAAGCUUCAUAAUCUUUCUAAUCACCCAAAAGAAAAAAAAAAAAAAGUAUUUUUUCCGGUUUUUAUAAUUCCUAAUGCUUCCCAAGCCACCCAAUGAUGCCAAAUAGUUCUGUGUUUCAAAAGGUCGCACUUUUUUAACAAUUCUGAAGGCUUAGAGGUAAAAAAGUGGUAGAGUGAGAAAAUAAGGAUGUGGGUUGACAGCACAUACCUCUGGAACAAAGGGGUUGGCAAUGGCAUGAUGAGAGUUGAUAACAUUGAGAGGAAUGGAGAGAGGAGAGGUAGCCAUUAGAGUGGAAGCUCGAAGGGUAUAAGGAGCAGAGAUAGCCUGCUAAAAGGCACAUUAUUCCUUGGCACUAGUAAUAAUAUCUAACAUUUUUCUUCUAGUUGAUAAGUCAAGGUUUCAUAAAAUAAAGAAAAAAUAUUGAAAAUCAUUAUUAUCUUGCGAUAAUCCCUUUUCUAUGUAUGAUAUCUGUUAAAUUUAAUAUUUAUAUUAAUUUAUAAAUUUAAUAAAUGUAUUUAAAUACAUGAUUUUCAUUUCUUAUUAUUGAUGUACGCAAUUUACAAUUUCAAUGAAAAUAAUUAGUGUAAAAAAAAAAAGAAAAUAUUUAUAUUGCGUGGAGUUAAUUUUAAUGGCUAUGUAGUGUUUUUUUUACUUUUUGUGUAUCCUAUUAUGUUGCAUAAAUAAAACAGUUAGUUGAUAUACGAUUAAAAAAAAUAUAAAAUAUUCAUAGAAAAUGAGAAAAUUUUGUUAUAUAUUUGCUUCGGUUGAAUUGGUUAAAAGUAUGUCGUUCUUUCUUACUCUUCGAUUGUACAAUGUUUUUUAAGAACGCAAUCUACUCCGAUGGACGUUAAAAGUCAGAUAUGUUUCAUAAAGAGGUCACUAUUUUAUUAGAGUAGAAAAUGAUAUCUUUACCUAGACAUCAAUAGUAUAUUUAUAGGACUUGUGAUAGACAAGCCCAUCCAUUAUUUAAUUAUUAGUGUUGUAUAUCUUUAGACAAUCAACCAUAAUAAUCAAUAUUCAAUACUGUAUAUUUGUAAAGCGUAUAUUAAUACCUACUAACUACCCAUAAAUGACCAUUAAUUUUGAUCGAUAUAUUUCAUAUAGUACAUUAGCUCCCAAGUCAAAGCAAGCUCUUUAUUGAAAGAGGUAUGCAGGAAUUAUUAUGAGCUUUAAAAGAGGUCACUCCCUUGUAUUUAGGGAGACUAUUUUUUAUGUGCUUUAAGUCUUCAGUGCUCUCUGAGCGACAGACUUUAGGAGUUAUCUUUAGAUCUUUUUCCUAUGUUGAUAGGAGUUCUUUUUAGAAAUUUUUCUCAUGUUGAGCGGCGACUGAUGGGAGUUCUUUUUAAAACUUUUUCCUAUGUUAAUAAGAGUUCUUUUUACAACUUUUUCCCAUGUUGAGCAGUAGACGCUACAUCCUGUUAUCUGCACCGAAGAAAAAUAACAAUUCGAAUUUGAACUUGUUAGAAAAAAUAUUGCCAAUCAAACCAACGCAUUUAUGAGGUUAGACAAUUGAUAUCAAAAUACCUGAUUCUAAACGGCCAAAUGGCCAAUCAAAUAAGACAGGUCGAGCAGUGACUGAUAGGAGUUCUUUUUGAACUUCCAACGUUGAGUGGAGGCGCUAAAAGUUCUUUUCGAACUUUUGCUUUAGUAUGAGCGGCGAUUGAUAGGAGUUCUUUUUGAACUUCCUACGUUGAAUAGAGGCGCUAAAACUUCAUUUUGAACUUUUGCUUUAGUAUGAGCGGCGAUUGAUAGGAGUUCCUUUUGAACUUCCUACGUUGAGUGCAGGCACUAAAAGUUCUUUUUGAACUUUUGCUUUAGUCCGAGCGGUGAUUGAUAGGAGUUCUUUUUGAACUUCCUACGUUGAGCGGAGGCACUAAANGAUUGAUAGGAGUUCUUUUUGAACUUCCUACGUUGAGCGGAGGCACUAAAAGUUCUUUUUGAACUUUUGCUUUAGUUUGAGCGGCGAUUGAUAGGAGUUCUUUUUGAACUUCCUACGUUGAAUAGAGGCGCUAAAAGUUCAUUUUGAACUUUUGCUUUAGUAUGAGCGGCGAUUGAUAGGAGUUCCUUUUGAACUUCCUACGUUGAGUGCAGACGCUAAAAGUUCUUUUUGAACUUUUGCUUUAGUCCGAGCAGUGAUUAAUAGGAGUUCUUUUUGAACUUCCUACGUUGAGCGGAGGCACUAAAAGUUCUUUUUGAACUUUUGCUUUAGUUUGAGCGGCAAUUGAUAGGAGUUCUUUUUGAACUUCUUAUGUUGAGCGAAGGCGCUAAAAGAUCUUUUUGAACUUUUGCUUUAGUCUGAGCGGCGAUUGAUAGUAGUUCUUUUUGAACUUCCUACGUUGAGCGGGAGCGCUAAAAGUUCCUUUUGAACUUUUGCUUUAGUCCAAGCAGCGAUUGAUAGGAGUUAUUUUUGAACUUCCUAUGUUGAGCGGAGGCGCUAAAAGUUCUUUUUGAACUUUUGCUUUAGUCUGAGCGGCUAUUGAUAGGAGUUCUUUUUGAACUUCCUACGUUGAGUGGAGGCGCUAAAAGUUCUUUUUGAACUUUUGCUUUAGUCUGAGCGGCGAUUAAUAGGAGUUCUUUUUAAACUUCCUACAUUGAGCGCAGGCGCUAAANAGGCGCUAAAAGUUCUUUUUGAACUUUUGCUUUAGUCUGAGCGGCGAUUAAUAGGAGUUCUUUUUAAACUUCCUACAUUGAGCGCAGGCGCUAAAAGUUCUUUUUGAACUUUUGCUUUAGUAUGAGAGGCGAUUGAUAAGAGUUCUUUUUUGAACCUUUUCCUAUGUUGAGCAGUAGAAGCUAGGAGUUCUCCUUGGAAACUUUUCCUGUGCAAGAUAUUUGCAUUCAUACAAAUAUGUGUUAAACAAAAUAUUCAAUAUUUUAUUUUUAUAAUGAGUAGCCAUUAGAACCUGACAAGGUUGGACAUUGGUGGUCCAACUGACCAAGUAAUAAGGGACUGAACCUUCCUAUGCAAGAUAUUUUUACUCAUAAAAAUAUGAGUUAAACAAAACAAAGUAAACAUUUCAAUAUUUUAUGAUUUAUAAAUUAUAAUGAAAAGUCAUUGGAACCUGACAAGGUUGAAUGUAUGAUUGAACCUUCCUAUGCAAGAUAUUUUUACUCGUGAAAAAAUGAGUUAAAUAAAAUAUUCAACAUUUUAUUUUUAUAAUGAGAAGUUAUUAGAACCUGACAAGGUUGAACAUUGGUCUGAAUCUUUUUAUGGAGGAUAUUUUUACUCACAAAAAUAUGUGUUAAAUAAAAUAUUUAACAUUUUAUUUUUAUAAUAAGAAGCCAUUAUAUCCUAAUAAGGUUGAACGUUGGUGGUCUAACUGACCAAGCGGUAAGGGAUUGAACCUUCUUGUGCAGGAUAUUUUUACUCACAAAAAUUUGUGUUAAAUAAAAUAUUCAACAUUUUAUUUUUAUAAUAAGAUGACAUUAGAACCUGAAAAGUUUGAACAUUGGUAGUCCAAUCGACCAACCGAUAAGGGAUUAAACCUUCAUGUGCAGUAUAUCUUUACUCACAAAAAUAAGCAUCAAAUAAAAUAUUCAACAUUUUAUAAUUUAUUUUUAUGUGGAGACAUUUAAUUUUUUUUCCCUCGUAAAUCUCUAAGGGUUACUUCAAAACAAAAGACAUGUCAUUAGAAUUUUUAUUAUUGAAUUUUUUGCUCUUAAUACAAAACCUGUACUGAUUCAAAGUAGCGAUGUUGAGACCGAGCGCGUGUCUGGUUCCUCGUGGUUUCAUGGGGUGUCACUCGGCCCACGGUGGGUGCCAAAAUGUUUCGGUUGAAUUGGUCGAAGGUCGGUCGUCCUUCUUUGCUCUGCUUUAUGCUUCGAGAUAUGUUUCAUAAAGAGGUCACUAUUGUAUUAUGAUAGAAAAUGAUCUCUUUACCUAGACAACAAUUGUAUAUUUAUAAGGCCUAUGGUAGGCAAGCCCAUUCACAAACUAUUAGUGGAUAGUUGCUCCAUCCACCACCCCAAGUGUUCCCUACACGUCUGCACUAUUUUUUUUUAUUUCAAAAAUACUAUAUGAUAAUUUAACUUUUACCAUUUAAUUUUAUUUAUCUUUUUUAAAACCCUAAAUGUCCCUACACCCCUACACCUCCACACUCCUACACCUGCACAUACUGUAGAAGGAGGCACGAUUGGAAAGUCCUUGGUGUAAACACCCACAUUAUCCUUCACAUACUGCACAUACUGCAAAGAAUCGAUUUGUUUCUAUUGAACAUAUUUACUGGAAAGACUCGAUUUGUUUCUCAUUUUGAUCUUGUGUACUUUUAACUAGGAAUAUACGCAUACACCACACAUACAUGCAUAUAUGUGUUUGACCCAAAUACACAGAAUAGAUGUGUAUGAUGAAUAAAAAGAAAUAAAUUUUGACAGAUAAGGAUGAAGAAGAAAAGAAAGACGAAGGUUCAUCAAAACUUGAGUAAGAUGGAUAGUUGCCCCAAAGCUUUGUCAUUAAUUUUCCACAAACACUAUUAAUUUAAAAGCGAUAUCCCUCCCUCUUAAUUCAUUCGCUUUCACUCUACACAAAACCGUAACUUUAUAUAAACUUUAAACACCACUCGAAUCCACACUCAACACAUAACCAUGGCUCACUCACACUCCCUCAUACCACUUUGCUCCUUUCUCAUCAUCGCCUCAUUAUCUCUCGCCACUGCUACAAACUUUGAGAUCAUCAACAACUGCCCAUACAUGGUCUGGGCAAUAGCCAGCCCCGAUGGCGGGCGAUGCCUGGAUCGCAACUAGACAUGGAACCUGUGGGUGAACCCAGGCACUGCUAUGGCCCGCAUAUGGGGCCACACUGGGUGCAACUUCGACGGCAGUGGGCGCGGGCGGUGCCAAGCACUAUAGUGUAUCGUUACUGGAGCAAUUGUAGAGUGGUCCAGGAAUUCGUGUAGGCAUCAGAGACAUUUGGACCACCCUUGUGUUAAGAGCUUGUGCAAUCACUACAUGUGGUUUGGACGAAUCUCAACAUUCGUGAACCCUCGAUUCUAAAAUGGAUAUCGACAUCUGUUUGUCCUUCAACGGAUGUUGAUAUCCGUCGAUGGAUAUUAAAAUUCGAUUAAGAAUCUAACACAUAUUCGCAUCCAUUUAAAUAUUACUGAAGGACAAAGAGAAAUGGAAAGAUGCAAGGAUGAAUGUAUGGUGGUGGAGAGAGUAACUCUCAUAUUAGUGUAAUAUACUUUUAAAGAAUCAAACUUAUUAAUCGAUACUGUAUAUUUUAAAGCGUAAGAUAUCUAUUAAUACCUACUAUCUUUAAUUCUUAUAGAUAUAUUUCAUACUUGAAUAUUAAUAAAACCACAUGUGUUAUCGCGUGUUUGUUUUCUUUACAUAUAAUAUGACAUUAUAUUAAUAAGAUAAUAAUAUUAUAAUGUAAUCAAGUUAAUAUACGAAGUAAAUUUAUAUUUAUUAUGAGUAAAGUAUAUUUAUUUGCAUACAUAUUCGUUUAAAAAAUUAUAUAUUAAUUUUGUUAAAAAUGUAAAAUAUAUUUUUAAAUGAGUUUUCCUAAUUAUGUAUAAAGCAUACCAUUUAUAUUUUUUUUUCAAUUUAAAAAAAUGAAAAAAAAAAUAACACAUUGAUAAUAUAUAAUGCAGCAUAAAAGAACGAAUAAAUAAGUAUAACUCCGUAUAACAGUAAAAUAUUUCUUAAACUUUUAUUUAAUCAUUUUAUAUUUUAAUAUAAACUAAUUAUUAUUACAUGUCGCACCUGUAUGUAUGUGUUUUCUGUAUAACAAAAUAAGUUGGUAAUAUUUAUAAAUUGAUUAAGUGGAUGUAUACAAUAAAUUUAUAUUUGUUAACAAAAAUGGAAUUUAUUUUAUGAUGUAAAGAAGAAAAUAUCAAUUGAAAGUACAAUAAAUUCACAUUAUUAAAUUUUUCUUUAAUUGCGAGACCAAACAAAGAUUGAUGUUUUAGUACAUCUUCCUUGUCAUAUAACAAUUGAGUUUAUGUAGAAGUAAUAAAUAAAGAUCAUUAUUUACCUUUCAUGGAAUCUUCUUAAAAGACAUGGUCCAUAACUUGUUGAAUUUGAAAGGGUUAAAAUAUGAUUUUAAUCUCUUAAGUAUCACUCGUUUUUUGUUUUAGUCCCUACUUGAAACAACUUGCUUGCCUUCCAUGGUUGUUGCGUUUCUGAUUUUCUUGCAGGUCUGGGUGGUUCGUUCUGGGCACAGGUUGUGUUAGGUUUCUCCAUCUUCUCUAUCGAGAUUUUCUCGCGUUUCUCUGUUUCGUUCUGAUUAUGGAGGGAGGAACUACUCCUUCUUUUCGUUCAGUUUCUCAAUGGUGAAAGCGGUGUUCGUCUCGCGACGGAAGAGGUUGAAGAUAUGUUCUCGGCGACGACAGUGGAGGACGACGACCCUGCCUUGGUGGCACCGGCACCGUCGCAAUGAGCGAUCGGCGUCGUUCACGAACAAGAGGGUUUCCCUCGCACGAACAAGAGGCCUCUCUAGAUUGAGUGGAGUUGCAAAGACCAAUGUGGCAGACAGAGAUCAGUCAAGCUGGCAUAAGACGUGGCAGAACCGUUAGCCAGAUCAACUAAAACUUGACGUCGUCCAUUUUUAAGGACUAACUUUAUAUGUUUUAAUACUAAAAGGAUUAACCAAAAAUUACUAAUACUUGAAGGAUUAAAAGCAUAUUUAACCUAUUUUUAAAAAACUAAAAAAUUAAAAUUAAAUAUUGUGAUUUACUUGUGAUACAUUAAAAGUAUAUAAUUGUAUAAAAUAUUGAAUAAAUAAUAAUAACCUCAUUAAUACAUAUAUUUUGAUUAAUACAUAUAUUUUGAUGUACACAAAUACUGAAGUUAUAAUAAAAAUAAAUUGGUAACGAAAUUUAUUAUGUCUUAAUAAUGAAAAGAAAUAAAUAAAAGUAUAAAUAAUUUGCUUAAUAUAAUGGAAGAAAAUAAAUAAUUUAGAAUGUGCAUAUUUCCUAUUUAUCUUCUUAAAUUUCAAAAUGAUGAAUCUAUAUUUGAAGAAUAUUUGUAAACAUGACAUACAUUAUUAUUGUCCUGAUAUACAUAACAUGACAUACAUUAUUGUAAAAAUAAAUUAAUAUAAUUACCUUCUUUUCUAUUGGCCUAACAAAUGAGAGUGAAUAAUCAUUCUUCCAAAUGUUUCAUUACUUUCCAGAUUCAGUAUAAAAAAACAAUGUCAAUUAAUUAUUACAUAAUUUUUUAUUACAUAGUUUUAAAAUUUUGAUUAGUUAAAUUUGAAUAAACAGUUAUUUAAAAAAAUAAAAUAGUAAUUGUUUUAAUAUGAAAACAGUUAAAUUUAAAUAAAGGAUCACUUAAAGAUAGAAAUGAUAAAUGAUGAGCACAUAUUUAUGUCUCCAUUUUGUUUUUAAUAUUGAGUUUUUUAUUGGUUUUUGUACUUUAAUCCAAUAUUUUAAUUAAAAUGUGUUAUAAUAGAGUUUAUUUAGUAUGAGAUACAAAAAUAUGUUAAAAAUAAUUUUUUAGUUGCAUAAAUGUUCUUUGAAUAUUUUGAGGUGUGUUACUACGGUUGCAACUAAGUUGAGUUUAAUAAUAUGUGAAAAUAAAUUGGUUAAAGUUUUAUGACAUCUUAAAGAUAAAUCCAAAAAUAGCAAAUAAUCAAAACCACAAGAAUUCAACCCAAACAUAGUGUGAAAAGGUAAAGAAAUUUGGUGAAGCCAAAAAGAGAGAAAGUCAACCAAAAUUGGAUCUUGGAGUUUUCUCUCUUUUUUCAACAAGAAAGCUUUGAUAAUUGAUAAAUGUUUAUGAUAAAUGAUAAUUUGGGGAAAAUAGAUCUUAAGAUAUUUUAUUUGAUAUUGUUAAGUAAUUACCUUAUUUAUCUAUAUCAGUAAAUAUCAAAAGAUAAUAUUUGUCAAAUCCUUUUGAAUCUAGAAAAGAUAUUCUCAAAUAUUUUUUUAUCUCUACAACAAUCAAAUAUAUCUUGAAAAUAUUGAAUUACUUAGAAGAGAAUUGGAGAAGAUUAUAUUAUCAGAAAGGAGAUUAUAAUAAAAGAAAAGCCUAAAACAAAACCCAUUAAAAUUCGUAUUAAAAGAGAUUGAAAGAAACAUAUCAUAGGAGCUUAAGAACCUUUAGAGGGUUCAAAUUUUGUUCUCUCUCUUCUCUUUUGUUCUUCACUCUCUCUUCUUAUAUUUUCAUAUUAUUUUCACAUUCUAUGUAGUGUUAAGCCUCUGGGGUUGAUUCUACUCUAAUUCUUAACUAAAUUCUAAGGUUAGAUGAAUAAAUUUGUUUAUUCUUUUAAUUCUUUUUUUUUUAUUUAUUUGUAUCUAUGUCUUUUGUUUCUUAAUCAAGUAAAAGUAAUUAUUUUUACAUUAUGCAAGUUAGCAUGAUGUUAAAUCUACAUAACAUAUAAAUCAUAUGAGUCCAACAAUUUUUAGUUUUAAUUAAUAACUUACUUUGAUUAAAGUUAGAAACUUUCAUGUGAUUGAAUGAGUUUUUGUCAAUAAUUGAGAAUGUACUUUGAUUAAAAGAGAAGACUAACAAGAAUUAAUCAAGAAUGUAUUUUGGUUAAUUAGUUUUCUACUUGAUAUAAGAGGUAAAAGAAUAAACAUGGUUAGGCAUACCAAUCUUUAAUUGAGAAUGUACUUUGGUUAAAUUUACUAUGAUUAAUCUACAAAGUUUUUGCUUUUAAUUAAGAAUGUACAUUGGUUGAUAGUGAGAAUGCCAACAAAUUAAUUGAGAUUUUAUAUUGAUUAAUUUGAAAAUCUAAGACAUUAAUUAAUUGAAAAGGUAGUGAAAUCAACCUAUUUUCUUUAUCAUUGUUUUUUUAUCUUUUUAAAUCUUUUAUAAAUUUAUCUUUUGUUAUAAAUUUAUCUUUUUAUUUGGUUCUUUAAUCUUUUAUUGAUCUUUAUUUUUUUUUAUUCUUUUUGUUUUACUAAUCCUUUUGUACAGUUUUAUAAGAACUAAUUUGUUAAAAAUCAAUUUCGUAUUAAGAACUAAUUUGUUUUACUAAUCUUUUCAAUUAUUUUGUCUACUAUCUUAACAAUAAUGAAGUUGCUAUAGUUUAGUAGUGUUUCAAGUAGUAUUAAUUUGAUUACAUCAACGACAACGUUAUCAAAUUUUUACCAUUUUGGUUCUUAUUUUAUUUUACUUUUGUUUAUCACUACAUUUUCUUUUUCUAUAUUUUUUUGUAUAAUUUAUUUUACUUUAUUUUAUUUAGUUCUUUUAGUUUAGUAAAUUUGUUUUUUGUUUUUUUAUCAUAAUUUUUGUUUGAGGAAUUUUAUUGGAAAAUUUGUGAAACUAGUUGGGUAACACUUUGGUUAAGGAAAGAUAAGGUACCUAAGUUAUCCAUUGAGACUCAUUUCUCUUUUAUGGAAGUUUACUUAACAAACUUUCAACUUAUUUCUUUUUAGAAAACCUCUUUCAAAAAUCCAAAAUAAUUUUUGAUAUAAAAAUAAUCAACAAUGUGAUUUCAAGUGAAUUAUGAUUAGUAUCUACAAUAACCUCAUGAUUCAUAUGACUAUCAGCAACAAGUUGUCAAAUCUAUUAUUGCACUUGAUAUAAGUAAGUUGACUAUACGUCAACUAAAUAAUCUCGAGUUAGAAAUUCUUUUAAAGAUAUGGGUUGAACAAAAUAUUGAAUUGAAGAAAAUGAUUAAGGAAUUUAAUAAGAGGUUGGAUAGAAUGGAAACUAAUGUUGCUAAAAGAUCAAAUUAACAACCAACUAUAAACUACUGAUGGAAAUACACAUUUUACUAAAGGUGUUGUUGAAUUUGUUAAUGAUGAAGUAAUAGAGUCAACUACUUCAAGUGUAGAUUUUUGCUCACAAGAUGAGAUUAUAAGGAUUACUGAUGGUCCUAUUAAUCAUCCUAAUGUUCCUGAUGUUGUUGAAACUAAGUUGAAGCCACAUGAUCCACAUAUUAAGUUUGUUGAUUAGAACAAUGAAAAUAAAUUUUCAGUGGUAAUAUUCAUUGACUUAGAUGCAGAACAAAAAGAAAGGUUGCUACAACAGAAAAAUAGGUUAGAUUUAAAUUCAUUUGAUAUCAUUGUUGAUAAAAAUUUAAAGAUGCAUACAUGCUUAUUUUCUACCAUUAGCAUAAAUAGAAAAAAAUUUAUUAAAAUUUUAAAACUAUUUGUUUUUAUUAAAUAUAAAAAUUUAAAAUUUAAUGAAAUUAUUCACGGUAACUUGUAUUUCAUAAAAUUAUAGAAAAUAAAUUUUGAAAUAUGAUCGGAUUGAGCCAAAAGUAUUAAAAGUUUUAUGUCUUUUCUUCAAAAUAAGUGUGUAAAAUAUAAUUUUUGAAAUAAGUGAGAGGGAGAAGUAUAGUAAUUAGUUUUUUUUUUUCUCCUUUUGCUUUCCGUUUUUCAAUUUUUGUUUUAUUUCCAUUAUAACUGUGAUUUUCUUUUUGAGAAAAUUGUGAAAAUAUUAACUUUUUACUGUAAAACUUUUACAAAAUAUGUCUCAUACAAAAUCCAUCCAAAAAUACUUUACUUUUUUCAAUAAAACAUAUUAACAUUAAAUUUUAGGACUUGAUUCAGUAACUUGAAUUAUCAUAAUCUUGAAAUAGUAGUCAUGUUUUAAUGCGAAUGGAUUAUUGAAUUAAUUAGAAGAUAGCCUAAUUGAUUCAUAAUUAUAAAUUAAGUUAAUCUAAAAAUUCCUUGGUUGAAUAUUUUGUGAAAGAGUUUUUAAUCUUGUUAAUUUUGAGCCUAAUUAUGAUGGUGGACCAUCACAUGUCAUUUCUAUUUUUUUAAGUAACUUAUGCUUUUUUUUUUAUAUUCUAAAAUUUAACUUGAUUCUUUUGUUUUACAAAUGAGAUAAAUACGCACUAUUUGAAACAUUCUAAUAUUAAUAUAUUGAUAGUCGCUUUGGGCUUUUAACAGAAAAAUUCAAAGAAAAUAAAAUAAAAAUAAAUAUUUAAUUUUAUAGUAAUAAGUGUUAAUUAUUUAUUUGUAUGACUCUUGAUGUUGUGGUAUAUAAAAAUUGAUUAUUGUUGGAUUAUACGUAUAAAAUCUGAUUCAGAAUAUAUACAUUAAAUAUUAGUUUUUGUGAUUAUAUCUUAAUAAUUUCAGUUUGAAUUAGUGGUGUAUGGGUGAGGUAUGAAGGUGGGAUGUAAAAGAAAAUAAAAAUAAAAAAAAGAAUGGAGAGAGAAUUGUAGCUUUCCAAAUUAGAUUUUAACACUUUGAAAAAAAGAAAAGUUCAUUUUUUGGUGCAGAAGGAAUCUAUUAUUUGUUUUCUUCUUCUUCAUGCAAACCAGGAAGUCCUUAAACAGGGAUUCUAAGGGUGGUCUUGGCCUAAGUUAUGAGAGGCUUUAAAGCCUAUUUUUGUUUUAACAUUUGGGCUUCCAACUCAAUUUCCAUUUGCAUGUGAGUAUGGUAAUGUGAAACCGUGAAGUUUGUGAGUUGGGUGGUGGAAAAGGUUUGAAAAUCACAAGGUAGAAAGAGAGUCUUAGGAAGAUCUUGUUUACUUGAGUAGAUUUGGAAGAGAGUAAUUGAGAGAAUUUGAUUAAUAAUUUUUUUUUGUUGUUUAUUUGAAUAGAUUUAGAGAUAACUGAAAGUAAAUUUGAAAAUAAAUUUUUUUUAUCUGUCACAUAAAUUUAAUCCUAUAUUAAUUCUCACAAAUUUUACUUUCAAAUCUAGUUUAACUUACCUCCAAAUCUAUUCAAAUAAAUAACAACAAAAAUUACUUUCAAAUUCUCUCAAUUACUCUCUCCUAAAUCCAUUCAAAUAAACAUGACCUAAAGACUUGGAGCAUUAGUGGAGAAGAAGUACUUGGAAAAGAAAAAGUAAGGAGAGCUAAUACUCUUUGAUUAUAUUUGUGUAUGGUGCGUUAUAUUUAGAGCUUAAGGUUUCGUUAAACCUUAAGCUCACACAGGUUGGAGAUAUUUUUUUUUUGUCAUGUGAUGUGAGAAGAUAAUGAUUUAGUAGUGAUGAUUCUUUUGACCAUAUAAUACCAAAAAAAAAAAAAAUUCUUCCAACCUGUGUGAUGCAAGAAAAUGAUGGUUUGGUAGUAAAAAUAAAAAACUAAAUAGAAAGUUAAACUUAUAAGAAACAAAAUAUCUUUUAACCAUAAUUGUUAGAUCGGAGGUAUGAAGCAAUUCUACUAAAAGCAAACCUUUCAUGGAUGUGUCGAACCAAUCAAGGAAUUUGAGAAACAAUUAUCAUAUUAUACAAGUACAAGUUAGGCACACAGGCCCUCCAGAAAAAAAAAAUAAAAAAAAAAUAACUGUGAUGUCCUUGGGGUGGGGUAUAUGUAAGUACUACUUCUACAUGAACACAAAUUUGAAUAGAUGAUACACUCGGGGGAACAGUACCCCUCUGAUUACAAAUUCUUCACCCCUCUCUUGGACUGUCAUACUUCUCUGUCAUCAAAUUUCAUCUAAUUUUCCUGUGAUUACAUAACUGAUCUAUGACUGAAGACUUAUAUUCUAAAAUUGAAUAAUCUCACUAGUCAAGUCUUCAAAAAUCCUCUCUAUUUGUAGCAGCAAAUCAAUGAUCUACGAAAGUCUAUUAUAUACAGACUUUGCACCCCAGAAGCAGAAAAGAAAAGUCAUGAUAAUUCCAAGCAAUUCUUUUGCAAGGGUGUUCUAUUAUAGCACAAGGUUUUAUUUGAAGACAAGAAGCAGAAACUGUCUAUAUGGUGUUGUUUAACAAGUAAUUAAGCGGUUCCUCCCGCGGCCUUUUCGAGAAUAUGCAAUGUUAGCUACUAAUGUGUUACCUGCUGAAAACAAGGCACUUGGUCCCAUGAGCUUCAAGCCAAGGCUUUUGACCAAAAAUGAUAGCCUGCUUUCAUCACCUCCCUCAACUAGUUGUAGCUGCUGGGCUUGCUCACGGGAUAAUACAGUGUACAGCUGUAAUGGCCACUUAAUAGAAUUCUGAUAGUUGUAUAACAACUCCUCAUGACUUUCUUCUGUGUCACCAAAAGUUACCUGCAGAAGACCCAUUGAGGGCAGGCUUUCUGAUGAAGAAUAAAAAAUGAAAGCAAAUUUCCCACAUUCAAAAUCAGGCCUCUUAAAUAAUUCAACCAGAAUAUCAUGGUUUGGUCCAAUAUUCUUAGGUCCAUAUUUCUUAGUACUGUUUUGCAGACGUGAUGAUCUGUAUAUGCGUGAAGCUUCCCUCAAGCCACUCAAGAAAGCACCAUGCAUAGUUGCUGGAUACUGCCUGCUUGUGGCCUCACCAGCAAAGAACAGUCUGUUUCCCACGUUUUCGGCUAGAAUAUCAUAAUCAUCACCAGAUGAAUGCACACUAACAUGAGAGUAGGAACCGUAAGAAAGGGGAUCGCUUCCCCAUCUUGUACAAAUUGAUUGAAUUGGGUGAGGCACAACAAUACCUUUAGGAUGAAAUAUCCCUGCAGAACAAGUAACAUUUCAAAUAAGGCAGAUGAGGUAGAAAUUGGAAAUAUCUCGAAUGAGAAUAAUACAUACAUAAUGUAUACAAAGAGAAUAAUACAUACAUAAUAUCCGUAGUAUUCCAAUUUUAUCUUUAAUAGGUAACCAUUUACCAAUUUUACCCUUAAAAUAAUCUUUUUUAAAUUCAAUAUCUUUUUUUUUAAAAAAAAAUUAGCCAUUUUUAAUAAAAUAUUAUUUACAGAAUAAAUAAAAACUAGCUAAAAUAAAAUUAUAAUUUAUAUUUACUUUUAUGAUUAUAAUUUUAUUAUAUAAAAAAAUUGAAUACAUAUGUGCGUAGAAUGUGUUUUUACUAGUAAAAGAAGAGAAUAGAUAUAAAAACUAUCUGAUUUCAAGAACAAGGACUUUAAUAUUACAUAUGUAGCAUUUGACACAAUAAUAGAACAUAAAGAAACAAAAUGCAAUGGAAUGAGACAUUAUUGUUCCAUUUAAUGUGUUCCUAUUGGUUUUAAUUUAGUUUAUUUGUGUAUCUUGAUUUUAUUAUUAGCCUAACAAUCCCACAAUCUUAGGGAUUUAUUUCCUAGAAUAGAUUGUAGUUGUUUUCAAAAUUAUCCAAUCAAGUUAUAUAUAUAUAUAUAUAUAUAUAUAUAUAUUGUUAAAUAAAUUAAAAAUUAUAUAUGGAAUUAAUCCCUUAUAUUAAAUACACAUAGGAUUCUCUAUUUAUAAUAGAAAAAAUAUGGACUAAACCCAAAAUACAAAUAAGAAAUAAUAUCAAAUUAACUAAAGAUAAAAGACAAAUAUAAAAUAAAGAUAAUAUAUCUAACACUCCCCUCAAACUGGUGUAUACAAAUCGUAUGUACCAAGCUUGUUACUAAAAUAAUCCAUAAAGACUCAGUGAAAAUAUCUGCUUCUGCACUCGAGAGACACUAAAUAACUAAUGAUUUGCAAGACGACAUAGAAGACAAAAUACCAACCCAAAAGACUCCCCCUGAGCAACAAAUUUGGGAGGUUGCUCCAUGUAAAUCUCUUCUUGCAAAUCACCCUUGAAAAAUGCCAUCAGUGGAUAAAGAGGUAAUUGUUGGAGAGCCACCACGGCUAUAAAUAAACUAACAACAAACCAUCUUUUUCAUGAAAAAAGCAUAUAUGGACAGGUCAAAUGCAAUGGUGAAAAAAGAGGUUAGAAGAGACAACAGCAGAAAAAUCCAUGGAUGAACAAGAGAGAGAAAUUAUACAAUUAAAAAUUUCCAAUCAAGGUAUCUGAAAAAGGAAAAAGAGCAAAAACAGAGAAAUAGCAAUCUUGAUGCUCUAAAUAACUACCAAACAUGCCACAAUGCACGAAGAAAAAAAAGAGAGCAAAUCCAUAACUUUAAAAGGAACUCCGAUGAAGGCGUCGUUAACGGCAUGACAGCCACUUGGCCGAGACGAUCAAAACUGUGUGAUCGUCGGUCAAAACUAAAACUCUAGUAAUGGUAGCAAUAGACAACAACGAUAGACGACGGCAUCGCCGACAGCGGUAGAUAGCCCCGCCGCCGGCAGCGGCGAAUGUAGUGGUAGAGGCACCAGAAACUUUUACCUUAGAGGAACCUUAGGCUCUGAUACCAUGUUAAAUAUAUUAAAAAUUAUAUAUGAAAUUAAUCCUGUGUUAAAUACACAUAGGAUUCUCUAUUUAUAAUAGAAGAAAUAUGGGCUAAACCCAAAAUACAAAUAAAAAAUAAUAACAAACUAACUAAAGAUAAAAGAUAAAGAUAAAAAGAUAAAUAUAAAAUAAAGAUAAUAUAUCUAACAUAUGUAAUGUAAAAUAAUAAGAGAGAUAUUAUUUUCUUCUAAACUUGAGAUGUAAAAGAACUCCUUGUGAGCCUAUGAUUGUGUGAUUUAAUUGUAGCCUUUAUUGUCAUGUAAACCUAAUUGCCGCCUUUAUUGUUGUGUGAAACUAAUCGCAACCUUUAUUGUUGUGUGAAACUAAUCGCAACCUUCAUUGACACAUGUUAUGCAUCUAAUGAAGCCUUCAUUGCUGCAUAAUUUCAUACCUCUAUUUUUGUAUGUCUCCAUGGACAUGCCAAAGAGAAAUGCCUUUCCCACCCUGACCAAGACAACUUUACUUGCUCAAAUAACAACUAAGGUGACGCGUCUAUAUUAGUGCUAUCAAAAUGUGUUGUAACCCGUGAGCCAACCCGGCUCACCACAGGUUUGAGUCAAGUUGGGUUUGAAAAAAAAUAUAAUUUUUUUUAUGCGAGCUAGUUUUCAACACGGCUCACUGGGUUGAACCCGUGGUGAGCCGGAUUGGCAACAACUUGCCUAAUUUAAUUUACUUAUUUAUUAUUUUGUAUUUCAAUAUUAUUAGUUAGUAUUUUUUUUAGGGUUAAAUAUGUUUUUUGUCCCUUAAGUAUCACACGAUUUUGGUUUUUGUCUCUACUUGAAACUUUGAUGGUUUUUAGUCCUCAUAGUUUUGAAACUCUUACUAUUAGUCUUUAAAAUUGGACGGCAUUAACUUUUGUUUGAUGUGGCAAACGACGAGGCCACGUCUUAUGCCAGCUUGCCUCUCCACUCUCUACCACUUUGCUUGUGCUUGAGAACUUCGUUCAUCUUCUUCGGCAGAGCAACCGCGGUUUCGCUUCUCAUGCACCAUCACCCCAAUCGCGCAACAGCCCAAGCCGCAGAUCAAACAAGCAUCUCCAUUCUUCACCUAUAAAGAAUCCAAACAACGAAGCCUUUUCUUCUUCCUCGCGAGUCAUCCAUGCCAUUCCCAAAAUCACAAAUCCAAAAAACGCGAGCAACCCCAAUCGCAAAUCACACGUGUCGGAAGACGCACACCGAGUUCGCUCCGACCAAUCGAGAACCACGACCAAGCGAAAUCCCAAAUCGCGAGUGCUGCGACGAACCCUAAAUCGCCUAAGCCUCUCUGCCGUCGUGCCUUCAUCUCGCAAGCUCCCCUGCAGCGACGCCAUCCUCCAUCAAUGCCACCUUCAAUGCGCAAAAUUCUUGCAAGCCGCGAUAUCCUCCCUCACAUGAAGGGUAAAAUCGAUAAAAAAUAAUCUAAAACAAAAUCAUAGAUUUCCACUGAAAUAAGAAAGCAAAUCCAAUUUCACACUCCCGGCAUCAUCUUUGAUACAUCUUUGUCUCCAAGCCACCGCCAUUCCCCAUAGAUAUUAGGAAACCCUAAUUCCACAAUUCCCUCUCAGAGACUCAAUCUUCUUCAUAGUUUUGUACUUCCAACUUUUUUUUAUCGUCCCCGAAGGUUUGAUUUCGUUACUUAGCUGUUAUUCAUAUUUCUUUUUUAUGGUGUAGAUUAUUGUCCCUCUUUUGCUCCAAUCAGAUUAUUCUCUUAUGUGAAAAUUCUUUGAAAAAAAUACUUCAAAACUCACAUCUUCCAUAAGUAAUUGAGAAUGAUAUAACUAAUUUGGUUGUUUAACUUUUGUUUUGUGUGUGCGUGAAACAAGAGGAUCAUUGGUAGCUACUUUCUUGUAGGUGUUGUUUGUUCAGUCCACUAUAUCAGAUUUUUUUUUUUUUUUUUUUCUGUAUUUGAAGUUGAAAAAAAUUAAAAUUUAUGGAAGAUAAGUGUCUAAACUUUGAUAUGUGGUUUGUGAAAUGAGUUGAUGUCUAUUUUUAUCUGCAGUUUGAAAUCAUGGCUGGACAGGCACCGGAAGGAUUAGUAAUUCGAUGGUCGUCAAUAUUAUGCUAAUAUGAAUGAGUUGUAGGUUUUCCCUUUCUUUAGAUGCUUGCUUAGUAGAGAUGUUAUUGCUUUAACAUGUUUGUUUCUUCUGUGUAUUUGUGAUUCCAUCUUAUUGUUUCAUAGGCAAUGCCUACCUGUGAUUCAAUGUGUCAGAUUUUUAUUGGCCAGAUAAAAAGAAAAGCAAUGUGGCAGAGAGAAAAAAGGGAAGCUAACUCACCGUUAAACAAAAGUUAACGACGUCCAAUUUUAAGGACUAAUAGUAAGAGUUUCAAAACUACGAAGACUAAAAACCAUCAAAGUUUCAAGUAGGGUCAAAAACCAAAAUCGUGUGAUAUUUAAGGGAUGAAAAACAUAUUUAACCCUUUUUUUUAUUAUAUUGUAGAUGGUAAUAAAGAAGAUGUUUCAAGAGAAAAAAAUAUUAUAUAUUUAUCUAUUCAAGACUCUAAUAUUAUAAAUGGACAAGUGAUACAAAAAUUAUCAAUAUUAAAAAUUUAUUUGUUCGCCUUUUAUACAUGUUUUUGGAUUCCUCUUGGAUUGUAUGAUACUUUUUAUUAUUAUUGUGAAUUGUCUUAGGAGUUUAACAUCAUUUUAAUGUAACGCUUAUUUAAAUUUGAAUUAAAAAAAUUGUAAUUUUUUUAAUUUAAAAUAAACUUAUAAUUAAAUGAGUUAGUGAGCCAACCCGUUUAACCUAGCAACCUAUGGUGGGUCGAGUCGGGUUCGAAUUUUUUCAACUCACUAAUAAACGAGUCGGGUUAGGUUAACUCACUAAGUGACGAACCCGUGGUGAACCAGACUGGAUCGAGCCGGAUUACCCGUUUUAACAACUCUAGUCUAUAUCUAAUUCACUUAUCAACUUAUUUCUAUGCCUUAAUUGCACAUAAUUGUAAUGGCUUAAAUAAAAAAUAAAUGAUUAUGGUGUAAUUAUUGCAACAAGUUACAACGCCCUAGGGACAAAUGUUGGAAGUUCAUGGAAAACCCCAGAGCAAAGAUUAGGUUACAAAGGUGGUCCUCCAAAGAAAGGGGCCAAGUAGCUCAUGAAAAUCAAGGAGGAUCUAUCCAACUCAACCAUUAGGAGAUGGAAAGAGUAAGGUCCUUCCAUAGUAAUGUGGAAAAGCCCACGUGUUCAUUUACAUAUUUUAGUAAGUUACCAUUUUCUUGUAUAUUACUGGGCAAGAAAAUGGUGAGGGUGAUAGGACAUGCUAGAGAAUGGAAUGGGAACAAAAAUUCGGGGAUGGCAAUUUGACAUGUUAGAGAAUGGAAUGGUCAUAGAUGAUUUGAAUCUAUCCAUCAAGAAUAAAUUUUGAUGUUUGAAUCCUCCAUUACUAAGAAAGAAAAAAUUCAAUUGUUUAAUC